rnacentral:rRNA from 1 species
UACGGAGGAUGCAAGCGUUAUCCGGAAUGAUUGGGCGUAAAGCGUCCGCAGGUGGCUGUGUAAGUCUGCUGUCAAAGAGCGAAGCUCAACUUCGUAAAGGCAGUGGAAACUACACGGCUAGAGUGCGUUCGGGGCAGAGGGAAUUCCUGGUGUAGCGGUGAAAUGCGUAGAGAUCAGGAAGAACACCGGUGGCGAAGGCGGGUUGCUGGGCCGACACUGACGCUGAAGCGCGAAAGCCAGGGGAGCGAACGGG